GGGAAAGGCUACCCACUCCAGUAUUCUGGCCUGAAGAAUUCCAUGGACUGUAUAGUCUAUGAGGUCGCAAAGAGUCAGACAUGACUGAGCAACUUUCAGUUUGCGUAACUUACACUGCACAGGGCACGGGUUCGAUCCCUGGUUGGAGAAUUAAGAUCCUUGAGAAAAACAUCCUCCACCACUCAUCCCUCAAAUGCAACCAGGAUGUUUGUUUUACAGCUGAAUCUUGUUUCGAGCAAAGUGAGCAUGUAAAGUUGAGAGAUGAAGCUUCACUUAACUCUUUUCACCACACAAAGCUCCCCAGAUGUGGACUUCCCUGGCAGUCCAGUGGUUAAGACUCUGUGCUUCCAAUGCAGGGGGUUUGGGUUGAAGAACUAAGAUUUCACAUGCCCCGCAUGGCCAAAAUUUUUUUUUAAUUUUUUAAAGGAGGAAAAAGAGCUCCCCAGAUGCACUCAUUCACUGCUGGCUUACUGCAUAUAAGGUCCUCUAUUAGGAACUGAAAAUUCAAAUCCUACUGCAAUAUAAUCCGUCCCCAGCAAAGAAAGUAAGUUGCAUCUUCACAUUCAUGCACAGACAGGAGUAAUGUGAUGUCUUCCAGGGGAGGCUCACCAAGGUGAGUUUGGGAAUCUGGAGGUGAGUUUGAAAGGAGUGGUGCCUGAGCUGGGCUCUAGAGAACAGGGAACUUGCCACUCAGAAGUUGGAAUGCCCUCCACAUGGAAGAGACAUCAGCAGCACAGGACUAGGGGAGGAUCCAUGGACCAUGCAUACAUGUGAGCUAAGUCGCUUCAGUUGUGUCUGACUCUUUGCAACUCUAUGGACUGUAGCUCCCAAGUUCCUCUGCCUUAACAGCUGUAUGGUCUUACUGUGCAUGUGUGCGUAAUCAGCCGCUUCAGCUGUGUCUUUUGUGACACCCCUGCCCGCCCCCCUGCCCAUGGACUGUAGCCUGCCAGGAUCCUCUGUCCAUGGAGAUUCUCCAGGCAAGGAUACUGGAGUGGGUUGCUGUGCCCUCCUCCAGGGCAUCCUCCCCACUUAAAGAUCGAACCAGCACCUAUGUUCCUGCAUUGGCAGGUCCCUCCCUGGUACUUUCUACUGAGUGGAUCACGAAGAAAUGAAAUGCGAUCGUGGCUAGGAGCAUCUGGCAGCAUCAGGCACAUGGCACGUGAUCACUGAAUGUCAGGUUCCAUCUCCACAUCUGAGGUGCUGGGACGAUGAACAACAAAUGAAAGACUUUGGGGGACCCUUGAGGAAGGAAGAGGCCAAUAAAAGAGGAUUCUGAAGUGGGUGGUGGUGGUGGUGAAGGAAGAGGUGCCUGGAGGAAAGAACCCAAAGCUUCUGAGUUGAGGUUCUGCUCCACGGCAGGCCACUUUACGGGUGCUGGAAAAAUACUCCCCAUCACAUUGGUCUUUGGUUUGUCCCCCAACAACACUGUGUUCCAGG
ensembl:lncRNA